GGGGUUGUAGCUCAGCGGUAGAGCACUUGCCUUGCAUGUGUGAGUCACUAGGUUCAAUCCUCAGCACCA
rnacentral:tRNA from 1 species